CACGUAGGGCGCAAGCGUUGUCCGGAAUUAUUGGGCGUAAAGAGCUCGUAGGCGGUCUGUUGCGUCUGCUGUGAAAACCCGGGGCUUAACCCCUGGCUUGCAGUGGAUACGGACAGACUAGAGGUAGGUAGGGGAGAAUGGAAUUCCCGGUGUAGCGGUGAAAUGCGCAGAUAUCGGGAGGAACACCGGUGGCGAAGGCGGUUCUCUGGGCCUUACCUGACGCUGAGGCGCGAAAGCGUGGGGAGCAAACAGG
rnacentral:rRNA from 1 species